ACAAGCUACACACACACACACACACACACACACACACACACACACACACACACACACACACACACACACACACACACACACACACACACACACACACACACACACACACACACACACACACACACACACACACACACACACACACACACACGUAAAAUCCUGUGUUUUUCCAGUCUGCCAACCAGUUUGUGAACGUCCUACUCCAAACACACGUGGCGUUGCCUUGGUGACGGUCCUUUUAUGAAGCACUUCCUGGUCCAGUGAAGGGACACCGGUGGCGAGGUGUGUGUGGAUGUGUGGAGCUCCUUCUGGCCAGCGGUUCAAGAUGGCCAAGAGAAAGCUUCUCACACAUAAUACGUUAGGUUUUCUAAACCACUCCACAUUUGGAUUGGGACCAUUUGCCACAGCGCCACCCGUGGAAGAAGGCCUUCCCGGAAACAAGCGGGUAUUCAACGGCCACAUAAUACAUCAGCAUUGUAGCGCCCCAAGCCCUAGUCUCUAUUCCGCUGUGGAGCGAGGUCCACUCAACCACAGGACUUUGACUUCUUUAUAUUUCACUUGAUUAAAGUAUCACCUUUACCUAGAACUCGGUUAGAUUGUACUAACAUCUAGAUUAUAAAUCCAUCAGGGAAACCACUAACAUGAUCAAAAGUAUUAUUAUCAGGGGUGCAAACUGGUGAUGGCUCCAAAAAGGUGACGACAUUUUAAUGUCAGAAAACAAAUGAAAGAUCAGUGCACGGGCCCAGGCCUUCCUGUGAUUCAUGCUCCGUUCAAACGGUUUAAGUGACUCAUUAAAGCAGUCAGUGAUGUUCAGACCUACUGUAUGAAGCAGUGCUCACAACAACAACUUAAUCUAUUAGAAUUUAAAAUGUAUUCAUGUGAAACUUUAAAUACAUUUAAGAUAAGUAACAUACAAUACUUUGCAGUAAUAUUUGCAAGCCCCCUUUGCCAAAUAUGUUAAUUUUCUAAUGGCAGCACUCUGGCCAUCAUCAUCUGUACAAGAGACAGAUUACCAAAUAAACGACUGGCCGAUAGACUACUUACACGGUGAGAAUAGUUGUCCUAUUUCCAUGUGUGGAUGGACUAAGGAAUCAGCAAUAGUUCACUCAGAAUGCAUAAUAAUGUAGUGGUCUCACCCUAUAGUCUGUGGGCCAGGACUGAUGCAAAGACAAUCCUGGCCAAGCAGCAGAAGUUAAGUGACAAUGUCCCAACAUUACUGGCCCAUUUAUGGGUGCACUAAAGACGCAAUAGUAUUCUUAAUGUCACUGUUUAUAACACAGGGCGCUUUAAGACAUUUAGAGUAUCACCACUUCUCCCAGAACCACUACACCACUGCUUACAGCUGUUGAAAUACAGCUGGACUUAACUAUCAAUUAACAAGUAUUAAUCCUUGGCUUUCCUUAUUUAUUAGUUCAUAAUGAAUAGAGCUUUGAUGAGUUUGUCUCUUCACUGGGUACACAAUAUAAUAAUGUUAUUCUGUAUCCUAUUCAUAUUUGUGAGUAAAGAAUUAGCUAUUUAAAUAAUGAGUACUGGACAUAGUAAGCUUUGAAACACGUUUUGUUUGACGAUUGCAAGUUUCAAAUCAUUCUUUC